rnacentral:rRNA from 1 species
UACAGAGGGGGGCAAGCGUUGUUCGGAAUUACUGGGCGUAAAGGGCUCGUAGGCGGCCAACUAAGUCAGACGUGAAAUCCCUCGGCUUAACCGGGGAACUGCGUCUGAUACUGGAUGGCUAGAGUUUGGGAGAGGGAUGCGGAAUUCCCGGUGUAGUGGUGAAAUGCGUAGAUAUCGGGAGGAACACCAGUGGCGAAGGCGACUUCCUGGCCUGUUCUUGACGCUGAGGCGCGAAAGCUAGGGGAGCAAACGGG